rnacentral:tRNA from 1 species
GGUCAUGGAUCAGCGGUAAAGCGUUUGCCUAGCAUGUAUGAAGCCCUGGGUUCGAUCCUCAGCACCA